AAAACGUGUUUGAGUGAUCUUCAGGCAUCAAAUUAUUUUCUCAUGUCGGCCUCGUUCAAGAUUCUUCAAUAAAACAUCAUCUAAUCUUCAUUAGACUGCAUGGGGAACGCAACAGUAGACGCCUUCAAUGACAACGAGAGCUCUACAGCUCAACCGAUUCUCUAGAUAUGAACAAAAAAUUAAGCGCAGAAUUUUCGACCAGGCAACACUAACUAAUAGCUAUAACUACCUGCACCCAGUCACUGAUUCGCUGUUGAUGUUGCGUGGAAUUUUCGCUGACGACACUCAUGUGUUUGCUGCCGUGACUGGACACGGAGCAGGAGUCGGGCUUUUGGGAUGAAUUCUGGAUAUUCUAUGAGAUAUUGACUGACUUGAGUACUAUCACUUAGGGCGCAUCUAAGCAAACAUGCAACUGGAGGGGCAAAUAAAGCAACCAACUAGUACUGGAGUGUAAAAAUAUAUUUUCCUUCAGUUGAUAUACACCUCUUUGGCUUGUGAGUACGAAGUAUACAAAACUGAGCAUGCUGGGUUCUCAUCACAUAAUGGACUAGUUUUCGACG